UUACCGAAAACGCCUUCAGUAUGCUCCACACACCGAGUCGACGCUGCUGUCUGCUCAACCCCGGCGCGCGAAUUGCGAAAAUUCGCUCUAAUUUCCACACUGAAGCGGCUGUUUUGGUACCAAUAAAGGAUCUCAACAAGAAGAUUCGUUAAAAAAUCCUACAAACCCUGCUCCGAGCCAACCAACCUCUGGGCGAAAGUCAAAUGUUGUUUAGAAAUUACACGCAGUGACUGUGCCUCGUCAAACCUGGAAAAGUGGACGAUCCAUUUUAAUUGACACUGCACCCUUCGGUAGGCAAGAUGAAGCGAGAAGUGAUUCGCCGUCUGCCAAACACCAGCAAAGCGAUUGAUUUCUCCAAGGAUGAUGUUCAAGCGGCCCUGCGGGUUAGGGCUAAAGAAUUUAUUCGUGAUAAGUCGUAAGAGGCGACUAAAAUCCCAUAGUUUCCGUGCCAGUCGGGUCUUUAUACCGGGACAAUACGGAUUUUCGAUUCGAUUUUCGAUUCGGGGAAUAUUUUGCGGGAUUAGCAUACUGAAAUAAAAAAAUAUCUGAAACUAACGAGAGCAGACUACCUCACAAAGGUACUGAAUCGAUCUUUGAUAACUCUUAAUAAUACCAACGAACAAAGGAAAAUCAUAUCUUGAGGUCUUGCAGCUCCCGUUUUUCACUUACCUUAACCGCACUUUCAUAAGCCCUCAGAUAAUGCAAAACUUCAACUAAAAUCGGCGUUGCGUGCAAACUGUCCUGGUAGCACCAGAUCUGAAAAAUUUAAGCUCCUUCAAUCUCUUGGUGCUAAUAAAUGGCAUCCUCGGUGUCGGGUUGAAGAGGUGGACGACAACUACAACUAAAACCUGCGGAAUCCUCGGCUACCCUGUUCGCCAUAAACGCCAUUCACAGAUAGUCUAUCAACAUCUUCAUAAACUUUCUACCGUUGGAUGGUAUGCGCGGAAUCCAACUAAUAUACAUAGAAGACGAAAAGCUCGAGCUGCCUCAGAGAUCCGUGUAUGAAUGGCCAAUGGUCCCACGAACGAUAUUACUCACCUCUUUGCUUCUCCAUUAAAAUCCACUAAUCUACCACUUCUUGUCUGCACGAAUAGAAACAGUUCGUUUCUUGGACCUUCCGUUAAAUGAGCUCGACGACAAAGAUUAACUUUAACCCCUCCAAGGCUUCAUUGCUGAAACGCAAUACAGAAAUUUGGUGAAAAAAAAUUAUGGAACUAGUUCGAGAUGUGAAGAAUAAAAAACGUGCACGUCGCUCAAGAACAAUUGGGAAUAUUGCUGCCGUCGACCAGAGUGUUGAAGAAAACAGAACUCAAGCCGGCUGACCAUCAACACGUCCUGUUUUACUGAUUGGGUCCUUGAAAUGCAUGAACACGAUUCCGAAUUCCAUGGAAAAAUCAGCUUGACUAAAGGAGCCCAUUUCCUCUUCGAUGGCUACGUCAAUAAUCAAAGCUCUCACAUGUGGGACUCGGAGAAGACAAGAUUUAUUGUUGUCUUCGUACUCAACGUUAAACUGUUUGGAGCGAUUUAUGGUCCGGUGGGUCAUUGGACCUUAUAUUUUCGAAAAAGAGGCUGUAGCAGAAACACUGUGAACAACCUUGCGGGCUAAGGGCUCAAGAAUUUACCCGUGGUAAGGCAUGCCUGUCGUAAGAGGCGACUAAAAUCCAAUAGUUCCCGCGACAGUCGGGUCUUUAUACCGGAACGACCCGGAUUUUUAUCCGGCCAAGAACUGUCACUGCCGCAACAUUCCCCGAAAAUCAAUUCGGUUACAACAAUAAUAAUAAUAAUAAUAAUAACACUGUGAAUAAAUUGCGCUUACGAGAGUUAAUUAAUGAUUUUAUAUGGCUCCGAAAUUGGAUGGUUAUAUUCCGGACAACGUUGACUUUUAAGAAGAUGGACGCUACGUGCCGCAAAAGCAACGAAACCAUCGAUCUUUCAAGGGAAAGUUUGCGGGAAUGUGGUUAUCUCUCGAAAUGGGCCACGUAAAAAAGUUAACAGGCCAAUGUCUAUUCAAGACCUCAAAGAUGGAAUACGUGAAGCUAUUGAGGGUAUACAGCAGCAUCUUUGCGAUUUGGUGAUGGAAAAUUUCAUAAAAACGAUACGGUCCUGUAAGCGUAGCCGCGGCGGCCAUUUGGCUGAUACUCUUUUCUCUUAUUAAUGGCUUAUCUUCCGAUCAUUUAACUAAAAAAACCGUAAUUUUUUUUGAAUAUCAAAAUAACACCUCUUUGGAAACUCCAUCACUAUAGAGCGAGCAGGGGAAGUUCAAACACCCUCACAUCGGUCAUCUGGCGAUCUGCUGAAAAUCGAACAUUUUCCUAUUUUUUAAACCGAUUUUCAGUAUAGAUCUGAAGCUAAGCUUUUUGCGCUAAAAAUGAGGACAUACUCGUUUAUAUAAUAUUAUAUAUGUUUCAUGUUUCAUUCCCAUUUAUUUAUGCA
rnacentral:lncRNA from 1 species